rnacentral:rRNA from 1 species
GGGAUAGCCACUAGAAAUGGUGGGUAAUACUGUAUAAUCCCUGCGGGGGAAAGAUUUAUCGCUAUUAGAUGAGCCUAUGUUAGAUUAGCUAGUUGGUAGGGUAAAGGCCUACCAAGGCAGUGAUCUAUAGCUGGUCUGAGAGGAUGAUCAGCCACACUGGAACUGAGAUACGGUCCAGACUCCUACGGGAGGCAGCAGUGGGGAAUAUUGGACAAUGGGCGCAAGCCUGAUCCAGCUAUGCCGCGUGAGUGAGGAAGGCCUUAGGGUUGUAAAACUCUUUCAGUGGGGAAGAUAAUGACGGUACCCACAGAAGAAGUCCCGGCAAACUCCGUGCCAGCAGCCGCGGUAAUACGGAGGGGGCAAGCGUUGUUCGGAAUUAUUGGGCGUAAAGGGCAUGUAGGCGGUUCG